rnacentral:rRNA from 1 species
AGUGAACGCUGGCGGUAGGCCUAACACAUGCAAGUCGAACGGCAGCACAGUAAGAGCUUGCUCUUACGGGUGGCGAGUGGCGGACGGGUGAGGAAUAAAUCGGAAUCUACUUUUUCGUGGGGGAUAACGUAGGGAAACUUACGCUAAUACCGCAUACGACCUACGGGUGAAAGCAGGGGAUCUUCGGACCUUGCGCGAUUGAAUGAGCCGAUGUCGGAUUAGCUAGUUGGCGGGGUAAAGGCCCACCAAGGCGACGAUCCGUAGCUGGUCUGAGAGGAGGAUCAGCCACACUGGAACUGAGACACGGUCCAGACUCCUACGGGAGGCAGCAGUAGGGAAUAUUGGACAAUGGGCGCAAGCCUGAUCCAGCCAUACCGCGUGGGUGAAGAAGGCCUUCGGGUUGUAAAGCCCUUUUGUUGGGAAAGAAAAGCAGCAGGUUAAUACCCCGCUGUUCUGACGGUACCCAAAGAAUAAGCACCGGCUAACUUCGUG